rnacentral:rRNA from 1 species
UACGUAGGGCGCAAGCGUUAUCCGGAAUUAUUGGGCGUAAAGAGCUCGUAGGCGGUUUGUCGCGUCUGCCGUGAAAGUCCGGGGCUCAACUCCGGAUCUGCGGUGGGUACGGGCAGACUAGAGUGAUGUAGGGGAGACUGGAAUUCCUGGUGUAGCGGUGAAAUGCGCAGAUAUCAGGAGGAACACCGAUGGCGAAGGCAGGUCUCUGGGCAUUAACUGACGCUGAGGA